UUUAACCGCUGUCUAUGCGCUAUUAAGAAGCCGAACAAAAUAUCUUAUUAUUGUUUUUCGUGUACAUUUUGGAUUGGACUUGUUGAAGGGUGAAACAAUAUUUUUUUACAUAUACUUAUAAUAAAUUUAAAACAGUGAGCACGUCUAAUAAAAUAUAUUUAAAUCCAUAUUCAUUACAAAGUUUUGAAGCAACAUACGUAGUUGUGCGUUUUCUUUGUUCAGUUGCUGAAAUACAUCUGCAAAUGCCAUUACCUUCGGCCGGUGAUUGCGACGUGUGUGACGCAACUUAAAACCCUGAAGUAAAAAAGAGAUUUAGAUGAAAACAAACAGGAUUUUUAUUGAGAAUAAAAAAAAUUACUGAUCUAGAUUGGGUACUGAGGAGGAGAGUACUUACGAGAGGAAUUCCUUUGAGUUCAUAACACAUCGAGGAUUAUUUUACAAAAAAAAUAUUCAACAAGUAUUAUGUUUCAUGAAACCGAUAUUAAUUAUCCAAGCAAGCUGUCGAAAAUUUAAGCAAACUUUGCAGAAAUAAAAUGAAUGUACGAGUA